rnacentral:lncRNA from 1 species
CUGUACCACAGACCCAGUCACAGUGUGACCCAGAAGAGGCCUACCUGGAAAGUUCAUCCACAGAGCACGUAAUUCUGAUUGGUGCAACAGUCUGGAAGAGUGAAAGACGUCAUCUCCCAAGGGCAAGUGCUGUGCUAGUGGACACUGAGGAGCUGCAGGGAUCAGACCCCUCCCCAUCCUUCUCCAGCCUCUCUUGUUCUUCCUUGACAAGUUUCCUGCAGAUCUAAAAGAUCCAGGCAA